ACUCUAUACGAUGGAUAUCUUGGCUCUUGAAUCGAUGAAGAACGCAGCGAAAUGCGAUAAGUAAUGCGAAUUGCAGAACUCUGUGAGUCAUCAAAUCUUUGAACGCAUAUUGCACUUCCUUUUGGGAGUAUACUUGUUUGAGUGUAGUUAAAGGUUUCUAUCUAUAAUAGAUGAAUAUUGGAGUUAGUAUACUAUACUUUCUCUAAAAUGAAUAUAUUCGUAUAUAAGAAUAGUAUUUGAGGUAGUUGCCACAAGUACUAUAUUAUAUAAGAAUAUAUUUAAUAAGAUCUAUCUCAAAUCAAGUAAGAUUACCUGCUGAAUUGAAGCAUCUAAGUAAGCAGAGGAAAAGAAAAUAACAAUGAUUCUCUUAGUAACGGCGAGUGAAUAGGGAAUAGCCCAAGCUUAAAUCAGCUUUGCUGAGUUGUAGUGUGUAGAAUCUAACUUUUGUUCAGUGUUAAUAUCAUAUAAUUUGGUUGGAAAACCAAGUAAUAGAAGGUGAUAACCCUGUAAUAUGAUAUGACUGAAUGUUGGAUUCUUGGAGUCGAGUUGUUUGGGAAUGCAACUCGAAGUGGGUGGUGAACUCCAUCUAAGGCUAAAUAUGUUCAAGAGACCGAUAGUGAACAAGUACCGUGAGGGAAAGAUGAAAAGAACUUUGAGAAAAGAGUGAAAUAGUACUUGAAAUCGUAUAGAGGUUAAGCAGAGUUGGUGGAUAUUGUAUUUGAAUGUACUAUAAUCAAUUGAUUAUGGCUUAUUCUUAUACAUAGUAUAAUUUGUGUGUGAAUUGGUUAAUAUUAAAACGAAUAUGCGCAUAAAUGAUAUAAAUCCUACAUCUCUGUCCCGUCUUGAAACACGGACCAAGGAGUCUAUCCUGUAUGCAAGUUGUAUGGUGUAAAACCAAUAAGCGUAAUGAAAGUAAGAGGUGUGAAAGUUGUAAAAGUGUCAACACCUGCCGAUCUAAAUUCUUUGAUGAAAGAUUCGAGUAUGAGCAUAUAGGGUGGGACCCGAAAGAUGGUGAACUAUGCCUGAAUAGGACGAAGCCAGGGGAAACUCUGGUGGAGGUUCGAGUGGAUUCUAACGUGCAAAUUGAUCUUUAAAUUUGGGUAUAGGGGCGAAAGACUAAUCGAACCAUCUAGUAGCUGGUUCAUUCCGAAAUUUCCCUCAGGAUAGCUGCAACUUAUGAAAUAGUUUUAUGAGGUAAAGCGAAUGAUUAGAGGUUUCUGGGAUGGAAUAUCCUGGACCUAUUCUCAAACUUUCAAUGGGUAAGAAAAGUGUGAUGUUUAAUUAAUCAUACUAUUUGAAUAUGAGUUGCAAGUGGGCCAUUCCGGGUAAGCUGGACUGGCAAUGCGGGAUCAACCGAACGCUAUGUUACGGCGCCAGAUUGUUCGCUCAGUUGGAUGUAAAAGGUGUUAGUUCAUCUAGACAGCAGGACGGUGGCCAUGGAAGUCGGAAUCCGCUAAGGAGUGUGUAACAACUCACCUGCCGAAUGAAGUAGCCCUGAAAAUGGAUGGCGCUUAAGCGAACAGCCUAUACAUAGCCAUUAUUGUUAGGAUUAUACAAUAAUGAGUAGGAAUGCGUGAUGAAUGUUGUGAAGUAUGAUGUGUGAACAUGUAUGGAACAUUCAUUAGUGCAGAUCUUGGUGGAAGUAGCAAAUAUUCAAAUGAGAUCUUUGAAGACUGAAGUGGAGAAAGGUUCCAUAGGAAUAGUGAUUAUCUAUGGGUUAGUCGAUCCUAAGAGAUAGGUGAAAUCCAUUGAAAAGUCAAUUUCGAUUGACAUUUAUCGAAAGGGAAUCAGGUUAAUAUUCCUGAACCAAAGAGAAGGGUAAACGGUAACGUAUAGGGGUCUCAAGACAUUGAUGUUAUUCCCAGGAAGAGUUUUCUUUUCUUGUUAACAAAUGGGCAGUGCUUGGAAUCGAUUCAGUCGGCGAUAAGCAUUGUUAUUUGGUAAAGUACUACUAUUUUGUGUAGUAUCUGGUGCAAUGACAUGAAUCCUUGAAAAUUGAGACUUUUGUUUUCCCGAAGCUUUGGUCGUACUAAUAACCGCAUCAGGUCUCCAAGGUGAAUAGCCUCUAGUUAAUAGAAUAAUGUAGAUAAGGGAAGUCGGCAAAUUAGAUCCGUAACUUCGGGAUAAGGAUUGGCUCUGAGGGCUAAGUGGGUUUAAGGUGUUAAUAGUAUAAGUUUGAUAUGGGAUUGAGUGUUUUGAGUUGCUUCGGUGAUUUGAAAUAUUUGGUUCUAAUGUCUUAGUUGUCUAUUUUCAUCUACCACUAUGAAUAGCUAACUCAGAACUGGUACGGACAAGGGGAAUCCGACUGUUUAAUUAAAACAAAGCAUUGUGAUGGUGUGAAAGAUAUGUUGACACAAUGUGAAUUCUGCCCAGUGCUCUGAAUGUGAAAGUGGCGUAAUUCAAGCAAGCGCGGGUAAACGGCGGGAGUAACUAUGACUCUCUUAAGGUAGCCAAAUGCCUCGUCAUCUAAUUAGUGACGCGCAUGAAUGGAUUAAUGAGAUUCCCACUGUCCCUAUCUACUAUCUAGCGAAACCACAGCCAAGGGAACGGGCUUGGAAAUAUCAGCGGGGAAAGAAGACCCUGUUGAGCUUGACUCUAGUUUAACAUUGUGAAAUGACUUUAGAGGUGUAGCAUAGGUGGGAGGAGGUAACUCCGAUCCUGAAAUACCACUACUCUGAAUGUUGUUUUACUUAUUCCAUGAAAGAGGAUACUUACUUAAUUGUAAGUGUUAUGAUGUAAACUU
rnacentral:rRNA from 1 species